rnacentral:rRNA from 1 species
AAUGCCCGAAAGGGUGACGAAGCGACGCCGCGUGUGGGAAGAAGGCCUUCGGGUUGUAAACCACUGUCGGGAGUUAGGAAAUGCAGGUGCGUUGAUAGCGCACUUGCUUGACUAAGGCUCCAGAGGAAGCCACGGCUAACUCUGUGCCAGCAGACGCGGUAAUACAGAGGCGGCAAGCGUUGUUCGGAAUUAUUGGGCGUAAAGAGCACGUAGGCGGCCUUGCAAGUCAGUUGUGAAAGCCUUCCGCUUAACGGAAGAACGGCAUCUGAUACUACAGGGCUUGAGUACGGGAGGGGAGAGUGGAACUUCUGGUGGAGCGGUGAAAUGCGUAGAUAUCAGAAGGAACGCCGGCGGCGAAAGCGACUCUCUGGUCCGAAACUGACGCUGAGUGUGCGAAAGCUAGGGGAGCAAACGGGAUUAGAUACCCCGGUAAUCCGAGCCGUAAACGAUGGGCA